rnacentral:rRNA from 1 species
UUAAGCUAAUAAGAGCGCAGGGAGGAUGCCUUGGCAUCAGGAGCCGAUGAAGGACGCGGUAAGCUGCGAAAAGCUCCGGGGAGUGGCAAGCACACAUUGAUCCGGAGAUGUCCGAAUGGAGCAAUCCACAUGAGUGAAGCUCAUGUAUCAUAUACUGAAUAAAUAGGUAUAUGAGGGGAACCGUCUGAACUGAAACAUCUAAGUAGGACGAGGAAAAGAAAUCAACCGAGAUUCCGCUAGUAGUGGCGAGCGAACGCGGAAGAGGCUAAACCAGAGUCAGCAAUGACUCUGGGGUUAGGACUGCAUUUAGUAUCAAUGAGGUCUAGUCGAAGUACAUGGGAAGGUACAUCGAAGAGGGUGAGAAUCCCGUAGACGAAAGAUCAAGUUGGCGAGCAGUAUCCAGAGUACCGCCGGACACGUGAAACCCGGUGGGAAUGCGGGGGGACCAUCCUCCAAGCCUAAAUACUACCUGAUGACCGAUAGCGCAUAGUACUGUGAAGGAAAGGUGAAAAGAACCCCGGGAGGGGAGUGAAAGAGAGCCUGAAACCCUGUGCUUACAAGCACACAGAGCACGUCAAAGUGUGAUGUGGUACCUAUUGUAGAAUGGUCCGGCGAGUUAUUUUAUGCAGCGAGGUUAAGGACUUAAGGUCUGUAGCCGAAGUGAAAGCGAGUGUUAAUAGCACGAAACAGUUGCAUGCAAUAGACCCGAAACCGGGUGACCUAUCCAUGUCCAGGCUGAAGUGAGGGUAAAACCUCAUGGAGGGCCGAACCGACUCCCGUUGAAAUGGUAGCGGAUGAGGUGUGGAUAGCGGAGAAAUUCCAAUCGAACCCGGAUAUAGCUGGUUCUCCCCGAAACCGUUUUAGGACGGGCCUCGUGUGAAGAUUAUCGGAGGUAAAGCACUGAAUAGCCUAGGGGGCGAGAGCCUACCGAAGCUUAUCAAACUCUGAAUGCCGAAUAAUCGUUUCACGGGAGUCAGACUGUGUGAGAUAAGUUUCAUAGUCAAAAGGGAAACAGCCCAGACCCACAGCUAAGGUCCCAAAGUGUAUUUAAGUGGAAAACGAUGUGAAGUUGCGUAGACAACCAGGAUGUUGGCUUAGAAGCAGCCACUCAUUAAAAGAGUGCGUAAUAGCUCACUGGUCGAGUGACUUUGCGCGGAAAAUUUAACGGGGCUAAAAUACACACCGAAGCUUGGGCUUGACGCUUUGCGUCAGGGGUAGGGGAGCGUCGUGUAAGGGGCGAAGUCGUAUCGUAAGGGACGGUGGACUUUACACGAGUGAGAAUGCCGGAAUGAGUAGCGAGAAUUAUGUGAGAAUCAUAAUGGUCGAAAGCCUAAGGUUUUUGGAGGAAGGUUCGUCCGCUCCAAGUAAGCCGGGAGCUAAGGUCAGGCGGAAACGCGUAGCCGAUGCACAUACGGUUGAAAUUCCGUAGCCUCAGAAAGAUUUAAACAGAGGGACACUUUGAAAGGACUGUAGCCGGGUGUUGGUUACCCCGGUCGUAAGGGAACGAAAUUAAGUAGUGAAGGCAGUCUGGACGGAGGCGAGAAAAGCUCUGUGUAUAUCUGAUGAGCCCGUACCGCAAACCGACACAGGUAGGUGGGAUGAGAAUUCUAAGACCAACGGGAGAAGGGUAGUUAAGGAACUCGGCAAAUUGUCCCCGUAACUUCGGAAUAAGGGGAGCCUGCGAAAGCAGGCCGCAGAGAAUUGGCCCAGGCGACUGUUUAUCAAAAACACAGCUCUAUGCUAAAUCGAAAGAUGACGUAUAUGGGGUGACACCUGCCCGGUGCUGGAAGGUUAAGAGGAGAUGUGAGAGCAUUGAAUUGAAGCCCCAGUAAACGGCGGCCGUAACUAUAACGGUCCUAAGGUAGCGAAAUUCCUUGUCAGGUAAGUUCUGACCC